GGCUGGUCCAAAGGUAGGGUGUUAUCCCACUUGAUUGUUCACAGUCAGUUAUAGAUUGAACUCCUUGUUCUACAACUUUCCACCUCCCCUCCCUUUCAACACUGCACUUGACUAGUCUUAA
rnacentral:Y_RNA from 1 species